CCUGACGGGUAGCUGGUCUGAGAGGACGAUCAGCCACACUGGAACUGAGACACGGUCCAGACUCCUACGGGAGGCAGCAGUAGGGAAUCUUGCGCAAUGGGCGAAAGCCUGACGCAGCAAUGCCGCGUGCGGGACGAAGGCCCUAGGGUCGUAAACCGCUUUCAGUAGGGACGAAAAUGACGGUACCCGCAGAAGAAGCUCCGGCCAACUACGUGCCAGCAGCCGCGGUGAUACGUAGGGAGCAAGCGUUGUCCGGAAUUACUGGGCGUAAAGGGCUCGUAGGUGGUUGAGUAAGUCAGAUGUGAAAUCUCAGGGCCCAACCCUGAGCGUGCAUUUGAUACUGCUCUGACUAGAGUCCGGUAGGGGAGUGCGGAAUUCCUGGUGUAGCGGUGAAAUGCGCAGAUAUCAGGAGGAACACCGACAGCGAAGGCAGCACUCUGGGCCGGUACUGACACUGAGGAGCGAAAGCAUGGGUAGCAAACAGGAUUAGAUACCCUGGUAGUCCAUGCCGUAAACGUUGGGCACUAGGUGUGGGGAGAACUCAACUCUCUCCGCGCCGUAGCUAACGCAUUAAGUGCCCCGCCUGGGGAGUACGGCCGCAAGGCUAAAACUCAAAGGAAUUGACGGGGGCCCGCACAAGCGGCGGAGCAUGUUGCUUAAUUCGAGGCAACGCGAAGAACCUUACCUGGGUUGAACUACGUGGGAAAAGCCGCAGAGAUGCGGUGUCCUUCGGGGUCCACGAUAGGUGGUGCAUGGCUGUCGUCAGCUCGUGUCGUGAGAUGUUGGGUUAAGUCCCGCAACGAGCGCAACCCUUGUCCUAUGUUGCCAGCGGGUAAAGCCGGGGACUCGUAGGAGACUGCCGGGGUCAACUCGGAGGAAGGUGGGGACGACGUCAAGUCAUCAUGCCCCUUAUGUCCAGGGCUGCAAACAUGCUACAAUGGCCGGUACAACGGGCAGCUAAACCGCGAGGUCAAGCGAAUCCCACAAAGCCGGUCUCAGUUCGGAUUGAAGUCUGCAACUCGACUUCAUGAAGCUGGAGUCGCUAGUAAUCCCGGAUCAGCAACGCCGGGGUGAAUACGUUCCCGGGCCUUGUACACACCGCCCGUCACACGCCGAAAGUCGGCAACACCCGAAGUCAGUGGCCCAACCCCUAGGGGAGGGAGCUGCCGAAGGUGGGGCUGGCGAUUGGGGUGAAGUUGGAACAAGGUAG
rnacentral:rRNA from 1 species